rnacentral:rRNA from 1 species
GACGAACGCUGGCGGCGUGCUUAACACCCGCAAGUCGAACGGAAAGGCCCUGCUUUUGUGGGGUGCUCGAGUGGCGAACGGGUGAGUAACACGUGAGUAACCUGCCCUUGACUUUGGGAUAACUUCAGGAAACUGGGGCUAAUACCGGAUAGGAGCUCCUGCUGCAUGGUGGGGGUUGGAAAGUUUCGGCGGUUGGGGAUGGACUCGCGGCUUAUCAGCUUGUUGGUGGGGUAGUGGCUUACCAAGGCUUUGACGGGUAGCCGGCCUGAGAGGGUGACCGGCCACAUUGGGACUGAGAUACGGCCCAGACUCCUACGGGAGGCAGCAGUGGGGAAUAUUGCACAAUGGGCGGAAGCCUGAUGCAGCAACGCCGCGUGCGGGAUGACGGCCUUCGGGUUGUAAACCGCUUUCGCCUGUGACGAAGCGUGAGUGACGGUAAUGGGUAAAGAAGCACCGGCUAACUACGUG